CAGAGGGGGCAAGCGUUGUUCGGAAUUACUGGGCGUAAAGGGCGCGUAGGCGGCCUGCUAAGUCGAACGUGAAAUCCCCGGGCUCAACCCGGGAACUGCGUCCGAGACUGACAGGCUUGAAUCCGGGAGAGGGAUGUGGAAUUCCAGGUGUAGCGGUGAAAUGCGUAGAUAUCUGGAGGAACAUCGGUGGCGAAGGCGGCAUCCUGGACCGGUAUUGACGCUGAGGCGCGAAAGCCAGGGGAGCAAACGGGAUUAGAUACCCCGGUAGUCCUGGCCCUAAACGAUGAAUGCUUGGUGUGGUGGGUAUCGAUCCCCGCCGUGCCGAAGCUAACGCAUUAAGCAUUCCGCCUGGGGAGUACGGUCGCAAGGCUG
rnacentral:rRNA from 1 species